AUACGGAGGGUGCAAGCGUUAUCCGGAAUCAUUGGGUUUAAAGGGUCCGUAGGCGGGCAAAUAAGUCAGAGGUGAAAUCCCACAGCUCAACUGUGGAACUGCCUUUGAUACUGUUUGUCUUGAGUUAUAGUGAAGUAGAUAGAAUAUGUAGUGUAGCGGUGAAAUGCAUAGAUAUUACAUAGAAUACCGAUUGCGAAGGCAGUCUACUAACUAUUGACUGACGCUAAUGGACGAAAGCGUGGGGAGCGAACAGGAUUAGAAACCCCUGUAGUCC
rnacentral:rRNA from 1 species